CCUACGGGAGGCAGCAGUGGGGAAUAUUGCACAAUGGGGGAAACCCUGAUGCAGCGACGCCGCGUGAGUGAAGAAGUAUUUCGGUAUGUAAAGCUCUAUCAGCAGGGAAGAAAAUGACGGUACCUGAUUAAGAAGCCCCGGCUAACUACGUGCCAGCAGCCGCGGUAAUACGGAGGGGGCAAGCGUUAUCCGGAUUUACUGGGUGUAAAGGGAGAGUAGACGGCAGCGCAAGUCUGAAGUGAAAUGCCGGGGCUUAACCCCGGAACUGCUUUGGAAACUGUGCAGCUUGAGUGCAGGAGAGGUAAGUGGAAUUCCUAGUGUAGCGGUGAAAUGCGUAGAUAUUAGGAGGAACACCAGUGGCGAAGGCGGCUUACUGGACUGUAACUGACGUUGAGGCUCGAAAGCGUGGGGAGCAAACAGGAUUAGAUACCCCAGUAGUC
rnacentral:rRNA from 1 species